UUAAGGGAAAAGGAAAGUGAACCAUCCACUAUUAAUACAUAUACAUACCGUUGAGUUUCUGUUUUUCCAUGUCUGCACCUUCUCUUGUUUCUUUUAAAUUGGUUGGAGUUCUUAAUUAUUCUUACAAGUUACUUAUAAAUUAAGAGGUGUUGUGGAAAUUAAUUUCUUUAACGUUGUUCAAGCUCGGGUUCUAGUAGCACUAUUUUGAGGCAUCGCGGAAAGGUUUUUUGCGUUGGCGUCCAGAUCCAGGUACUAGCAGUCGGUGUUGACGUAGUUCAUAUCUUUCAAUGCUGGUUUAGAGCGGGGUGAGCUUACUGUCGUCUGAGGCUGAUCCUCCUCUAUCUACUCUAGUUAGUCUUUUUCAUUCGAGACUACUUGUGUACAUUCUAGAUUUUUUGUCUAGUACUCUGGGUACUUGUUAGUAGUGGCUUUAGUACUGACCUUAUCAGGUUUUGGGAGGAAUUCAUUUGUAUAGUUGGUCCUUUUUCCUCCUCUCGUUUUGAUAUAAUACAUAUGCUUUAUUCUUAGUUUUCAC